AGAGCGGCGCCGGCCUCGGCGGCUGAGGAAAGCAGGAGGUGGUGGCGGCGGGAAGAUGGCUCCUUCACCUACCAAACGCAAAGACCGCUCAGAUGAGAAGUCCAAGGAUCGCUCAAAAGAUAAAGGGGCCACCAAGGAGUCGAGUGAGAAGGAUCGCGGCAGGGACAAAACCCGAAAGAGGCGCAGCGCUUCCAGUGGUAGCAGCAGUACCAGGUCUCGGUCCAGCUCGACUUCCAGCUCAGGCUCCAGCACCAGCACUGGCUCAAGCAGUGGCUCCAGCUCUUCCUCAGCGUCCAGCCGCUCAGGAAGCUCCAGCACCUCCCGCAGCUCCAGCUCUAGCAGCUCUUCUGGCUCUCCAAGUCCUUCUCGGCGCAGACACGACAACAGGAGGCGUUCCCGCUCCAAAUCCAAACCACCUAAAAGAGAUGAAAAGGAGAGGAAAAGGCGGAGCCCAUCUCCUAAGCCCACCAAAGUGCACAUUGGGAGACUCACCAGGAAUGUGACAAAGGAUCACAUCAUGGAGAUAUUUUCCACCUAUGGGAAAAUUAAAAUGAUUGACAUGCCCGUGGAAAGGAUGCAUCCCCAUCUGUCCAAAGGCUAUGCAUACGUAGAGUUUGAGAAUCCAGAUGAAGCUGAGAAGGCGCUGAAGCACAUGGAUGGAGGUGGGUGACCCUGCCACACACCCCUGACCUCUCAGAGACCCGCUGCCGCUAGGGGCUUUCAAACUGAUUU
rnacentral:sRNA from 1 species